rnacentral:misc_RNA from 1 species
GGAAGUUGCUUCUCCCUUGAAGAAUUGCAAGCAAAUGAUAAUCUUAUGGAAGACCUUCCCUCAUCUUUGUGCAAUCUGAUUCACCUGAAGUCGUUGCGUUUAGAUAAUAACAAUAUUGGUCAGUUACCAUCAAAUCUGUUGAAAGAUUGCACAGCAUUGCAGAAUGCAUCUUUGCAUGGUAAUCCAAUUUUAAUGGAUCAAUUUCAGCAGAUGGAA